UUGGAGGGCAAGUCUGGUGCCAGCAGCCGCGGUAAUUCCAGCUCCAAUAGCGUAUAUUAAAGUUGUUGCAGUUAAAAAGCUCGUAGUUGAAUUUCGGGGUUAGUAGGUUGGUCAUGCCUCUGGUAUGUACUGGUCUCACUGAUUCCUCCUUCCUGAUGAGCCGUAAUGCCAUUAAUUUGGUGUUGCGGGGAAUUUGGACUGUUACUUUGAAAAAAUUAGAGUGUUUAAAGCAAGCUAACGCUUGAAUACAUUAGCAUGGAAUAAUGAAAUAGGACGUUCGAUCCUAUUUUGUUGGUUUCUAGGAUUGACGUAAUGAUUAAUAGGGAUAGUUGGGGGCAUUAGUAUUCAAUUGUCAGAGGUGAAAUUCUUGGAUUUAUUGAAGACUAACUACUGCGAAAGCAUUUGCCAAGGAUGUUUUCAUUAAUCAAGAACGAAAGUUAGGGGAUCGAAGACGAUCAGAUACCGUCGUAGUCUUAACCAUAAACUAUGCCGACCAGGGAUCGGAUGAUGUUAAUUUUUUAAUGACUCAUUCGGCGCCUUACGGGAAACCAAAGUGUUUGGGUUC
rnacentral:rRNA from 1 species